AACCAUUCUCACCUGCGGCUAGACCUGCGGAAGGAUCAUUACAGAGUUGCAAAACUCCCUAAACCAUUGUGAACGUUACCUAAACCGUUGCUUCGGCGGGCGGCCCGGGUCCUUCCCGGCGCCCAUCGGCCCUCGCGGGCGCCCGCCGGAGGUAAACCAAACUAUUGCAUUGUAUGGCCUCUCUGAGUCUUCUGUACUGAAUAAGUCAAAACUUUUAACAAUGGAUCUCAGAUCGGAAGA
rnacentral:misc_RNA from 1 species